rnacentral:rRNA from 1 species
GACAGAGGGUGCUAGCGUUGUUCGGAAUUACUGGGCGUAAAGCGCGCGCAGGCGGCUCUUCAAGUCAGGGGUGAAAGCCCAGAGCUCAACUCUGGAACUGCCUUUGAGACUGUAGAGCUUGAGUACGGGAGAGGUGAGUGGAAUUCCCAGUGUAGAGGUGAAAUUCGUAGAUAUUGGGAAGAACACCCGUGGCGAAGGCGGCUCUCUGGGGCGGUACUGACGCUGAGACGCGAAAGCGUGGGGAGCGAACAGG